AAACUUUUAUACACCGGAUCUCUUGGUUCUGGCAUCGAUGAAGAACUCAACGAAAUGCGAUAAGUAAUGUGAAUUGCAGAAUUCAUUGAAUCAUCCAAUCUUUGAACGCACAUUGCACCCCCUGGUAUUCCCGGGGGCAUGCCUGU
rnacentral:rRNA from 1 species